UAAGCCUCUCUAAGAGCACAGGUAUUACUACCUACCUUUGAUUUCAAUAUAUGUUGACUUGAUAAAAUAAAAUUUUCAUUAAUAGAAAAAAAAAGAAAUGUAAUCCUAAAAUGUUCCCCAGUAAUGUGUUGUGAGUAAAUAUAAAGGAGUAUGGUAGAAAGAAAGAAUGAGGUAGAGGAAACAGAGGUAAAUCAGUACAGGUAAGAAAAGUAAAGGAAGACAUGCAUCAAACAAUUCACUCCUAUUACAUGCAUGUAUUCCUGCACAGAGUUAGGUCUUUGGAUCAUAUUGACCAUUGUGGAAUUUAAUUUCUUGGAAGUCUGACAUCAUAGUUUUUAAAGCUGUUUUGUAUUUUUAUUGAUUUAUUAUUUUUCUAUUUUGUUCAUUAUCAGGUCUAUAUUUACAUAUCCAAAUCUAGCAGCCAACAUUUUUGGAUUUCAGAAUGCCUUCAGAAGCCUGAGGCUUGAAAGCACUUGCCAUAGUCAACAACUUAUAAAAAUAAUACAGCCUUCAGAUCUCUGCAAAGUCACAAUAGAUGAAAUAUGUUUACACUGGAAACAGAAAAUCAUGCUAUGGUCCAGAUUCUUCUGGGAUCAAUGAAGGAUCUCUCAUCCAUUCUCAUGAUUCUGAUACAUCUAAUUCACAUAAGUCUCCAAGUGCUACAUAUCCUAUGACAUCGUGAAUGUUAUGGAAGACUACAGAGGUGAAAUGUCAUUUUCAUCACAUCUUAUCAAGCAUAUAAACUAUUCACUUGUUGUGUCACACCUGAAUUAUCACUUUUGUCAAGUUUCCCCACUGUAAAGUUCUUUUUGUUCCUCUUUCCAUUAUAUGAUCUCUGGAAGGGAAUCACUAUGUGACUUCUAAUGGUUCCUAGAAAAUUUGUUGUU